rnacentral:rRNA from 1 species
GGUCAAGCGAAUAAGGGCUAACGGUGGAUACC